CCCCUCUCAGGGUUGCACCUGGAGAGUUUCCAGGACUCUAUGAGUUUUGACUAUGAGAGGGAGAGUCAAGCAGAGGCAUAUCCAUUCCAUUCCUAGCUUGGGUAGUGACUAGUGAGUGGAAGACAAUCUGCUACAAGU
rfam:Ornithorhynchus anatinus chromosome 4, whole genome shotgun sequence.